CUGUCUUGACCUGCUGUCCUGAUCAGACUGGCCUUGAACUCAGAUCUGCCUGCCUCUGCCUCCUUGCUUCAAUUAAGGGCCUGUGCCACCACUGCCUGGUGCAGCACCCUUCUUUUUAAACAGAAACUAGAGAAUAAGAGCUGGGCACUGAUGUCCAGAGUAUCACCACUUCCUAAAAUUUUUGCUUUAGUUACAUGCAAAGCUGUAUGUACUGCAUUACAAUGUAAAAUCUGCUUUAGCUACAUGCAAACCUGUGUGUACUGGUUUACAAUGUAAAAUCCAUUCCUUAUUGUGUGGCUUGUAACUUAAGGAUACAAAUUUAGUUUAGAAAAUUUGGAUGCAAAAUAUCUAAAAGAGAAAACACAAAUAGCCCAAGGAUGGUUCCCUGGGAUGGGAAGAAGGUGUUAGGCCGAUGGACUUCCCAGAAUUAUGUACAGUUUUGUUUUCAAGCGAUGCACAUGUGUUGCUUUUGCAGGAAGGAAGCCUGUGUUUAAGGAUUUUAGGACAAAUGAACAAUCUUCCAUCCUUGGAAUCACUCAGAAAAUUCUCCAAAAACACACCUGGUCCCUUGGAAGUUCCACCAGGGUCCCAGCCACUCUUCCUUACCAUCUGGAGCAAUGUGGUGGAAUCAUAGAGCAGCUCUCUCAGCCUGAGUCAGCGCAGCACCAGGACACCUGUUAUCCACUCAGCAUUGCCAUGAACAUCACCAGUCAUACACUCACAUAGAUCCUGAUCUUGGCCCUCCACACCCGCUUGUGGGAAGAAUCGAUGUUUCUUCCUGUGCUGACUGAUCCAUGAACUUCUGAGGAAUGCCUUUAACGUCACUGGCCGCCCAUGUUCCCUUAAUAACGUUGCCACAGCAUGUGGUAUGUGCCCUACAGCUGGGUGGGGCUGGUCUGGUGUCUUUCUGCUCUCUGAGAUCUUAGGAACACCUUCCACCCCUCAACCCCCAACCCAGGCCAGGUUCCCGGGCAAUUGCACUGCUUCCUGCUCGCAGACAGGGCCAUGCCCCUUUCCUGGAAGGACAGCAAGAGAGAGAAGUCAUAAACUUCCUGUGUCCCCAGCCCAAAGACUGUCUUGACUUCCUCCACGCCCUGGGUCCCUACAGUUCAGUGGUCCAGAAAGCGUAUCCUGGGGGUUAAGAGAGUGAGAGAGACAGUUGAGGAAGGAAAAGGAGUCCCAACGGCAAGCAAGACAGAACAAAGAGGAACCAAGGAGGGUCAGGACCUGGCAGGAGAGGCUGGGAAAGAAGAAAGGCAAGCACAGGCAUCGCUGAGCACCCCAGUGGAUAGGCAGUGGAAUGCCCACAUCUGAGGGCUUUCAAUGCACAGCCCUCUGUGGAAGAUGCCCUUGUCCCACAGGAACCCUCCAGCAACCGCCCCUUCAGGAAAAAGCCCAUGCAGCCAUAGACUGUGACCUCACCAGCUUUCCAGAGCAUUAUUGGUCACACGGGUCCACCUAGUAGAUAAUCUUGUGCUUUGCUUGCUAUGGAGUGUCACAGAUACAUACAGAGGGUAGUGCAUCUGACUGGUACUCACUGCCUACUUCCCAUACGUCUCAUGGUUUAUCCCAUGCAGCUACUAAUCCCAAGUUUAGGGCAGAAACUGAAGAAAUUAUACCAUGCAACAGAUCUCAUACAAGUGAUAACGGGGUGGGGGGCACCUCUGAUGGGGAUGAGAGAGAGAUACAUGAUGGUGGUAGGACCUUUUAAAGGGUAGGCAAGUCACAUUUGGUGGCUGGUGAUGGAGUGGCUGCUGGUGCUGAGUGGCUGAAGGCAGGUUGCUAACAUUCCUCCCUUUUGUUCAUUAUAAAAAGUGAGGAACUAGGAAGGGUUGGUGGUGAGGCAGGAAUGGGGACACCAUGCUCUUUAGAUUGCUUCCUGUUGUCUGUGGGUAUCGACAUCUUUGGGGACUCAAGAAAGCUGGGGUGCUGGCCAAGUCCUGGAAGAGCAGGCUGUUUCACUAGCUGUCCAGGCUCUGUGGGACUAUUGAGGGCCAGGGAUAUGCAGCAACAGUUGGAGCAGUUUGUGAAGCUAGACCAUCUGGGGAUAGUUACAGUGAAGCUGUCUGGGGUGCAGAUUUUGAGGGAACACCUGGGGCUGGGGCUGGGGCAAUCUGUAAUUGAUUUGGAAUCUCCUGGGGCAGACAGACUAGGGACAGAAGGUAAAGUUAAGGCGUUUAGGGGAAAUUUCUUUUCUUAGGUGUACAUUUGAAACUUUUAGGCCCACAGUCUUGGUAGUUGGGGAAGAGGACUCCCAAGACCAGGGAAAGGGGGGGUUAAUUCCCACCCUCAGGAAUAAGUGGAACAGGUAGGUGAGAAAACAGGCUGUUUCCUCAGACCGUACUGAACUGGAGUCUAUUUGACCCAGGAGAGGUGGAUUCAAGCCAAUAUCUUGAAGCUAACAAGAAAAUGUUUAGGUUUACAAAAAGAGCUAAAUUUUACAUAUGUUAGCAUUCCCACUGUCUGUAAUGUGUACUGAAAUCCACACUGUAGAAAAGACAGUAGAUUCACACCUUCAAGUCAGAGUAGAAGGCUGGGGAUCCAAAUGAUUGGGUUAAAAGUGUGAACAUUUUUUCCUCUGUCCAGAAGACUAGGUGGACUGAGAUAGGACAGAGGAGCACUUUCAAGACUAUGCUUCAAAGACAACCAAAGGGAAUUUAAAAUUUUGAGCUUGUGGCUAUGGUAAUAGUAGUCAGUGCUUUCCAGACCUAGAUCAAUAGCUCAUAAAUCACUUUCCCAUGCCUUUAGAAAUUGCAUUUAUACACCUUAAACUUUGCAAUUUUCCUAUCCAAUCAUUUACUGUGGGUAACUGGUUACUGAGA